UACAGGGGGGGCAAGCGUUGUUCGGAAUUACUGGGCGUAAAGGGCUCGUAGGCGGCCAACUAAGUCCGACGUGAAAUCCCCAAGCUUAACUUGGGAACUGCGUCGGAUACUGGAUGGCUUGAAUUCGGGAGAGGGAUGCAGAAUUCCAGGUGUAGCGGUGAAAUGCGUAGAUAUCGGGAGGAACACCGGUGGCGAAGGCGGCGACCUGGGUCGAUACUGACGCUGAUGCGCGAAAGCGUGGGGAGCAAACAGG
rnacentral:rRNA from 1 species